AUCCAAAAGUCUGGCUUGCCGUGAUUAAAUAGAAUUGCUUUGGUACCCUAAACCCCUCCUCCUUCUUCAGCAACACAACACCAUGACCGCCCCAACACCUCUACUGUCUCCCCCUCUCCAGGAUCGUGUAGCCAUAGUCACAGGCUCAUCCCGUGGCAUUGGCAAAGCCAUAGCCAUCCACUUGGCUUCACUUGGUGCAAAACUUGUUAUUAAUUACACUUCCAACAAGGAACAGGCUGAUCUUGUUGCUAAUGACAUCAAUUCUUCCUGUGUUGACAAUACCCCACGAGCCAUAGUAGCCCAAGCUGAUGUUUCUGAUCCAGCCCAGGUCAAGUUUCUCUUUGAUGAGGCUGAAAGAGUCUUUGGCUCUCAACUUCAUAUCUUGGUUAACUGUGCUGGUGUAUUGGAUCCUAAAUAUCCUUCCAUUCCCAACACUUCCUUGGAGGAUUUUGAUCAUAUUUUCAGUGUCAACACUAGAGGUGCAUUUUUAUGCUGCAAGGAAGCAGCAAAUCGGCUGAAACAUGGUGGUGGUGGUCGGAUAAUACUGUUAUCAUCAUCUAUGGUUGGUGGAUUGAGGCCUGGAUUUGGGGCAUAUGCAGCAUCAAAGGCUGCAGUGGAGACAAUUAUAAGGAUAUUAGCUAAGGAACUGAAGGGAACUGGGAUUACUGCAAAUUGUGUUGCACCAGGGCCUAUUGCAACAGAGAUGUAUUUUGCUGGAAAAACUGAGGAGCAGAUAAAGAAGAACAUAGAGGAGUCCCCGCUAGGCCGGCUUGGUGAGACCAAGGACAUUGCAGAGGUUGUUGGGUUUAUGGCUACUGAUGCUAGUGAGUGGAUUAAUGGGCAGGUAAUUCGGGCCAAUGGUGGUUAUGUAUAGGAUUUGAAAAAUUCAUCCUACUAGUUUUUGAAAGAAUAAUUCUCUACCUUUUAAAAGUUUCUGUUCAAAGUUGUGUCAACUAGCUUGAAUUGCAUGCUAGGCUCAAAUGCAGACAAGUAUGAAAAUGCUUCUCAAGUAUUUGUUAAUUCACCUUGAAUAAACCACUUCCUCUGGCAAUGCAUGUCCUGUACAGAAUUCAAAACAGAAGAUGAGGUUCAGAUUUGCAUUUGACCAUCAUUGAAUGUAUUUGCUUAGCAAAAUCAAGCGAGACCCACUGAAUGAGCUCUAUAUUUGUGAAUCAGUUCUGUCUCCUCGUACAGGUUGUGAGCUACUAAUGCAUGCUUGAUCUACUUGGUUGAACGAACAGAUAUAGGUAUUAUAUGUUUGAAUGUUGUUUCCCAGGAUGGCAAGUUUAACUACAAUUAACUAUGUUUGAAUGUU